UACGGAGGGUGCGAGCGUUGUCCGGAAUCACUGGGCGUAAAGGGCGCGUAGGCGGCCUGAUAAGUAGGGGGUGAAAUCCUGCGGCUUAACCGCAGGGCUGCCUUCUAAACUGUCAGGCUUGAGCACAGUAGAGGGCAGGUGGAAUUCCCGGUGUAGCGGUGGAAUGCGUAGAGAUCGGGAAGAACAUCAGUGGCGAAGGCGGCCUGCGUGGGCUGUUGCUGACGCUGAGGCGCGACAGCGUGGGGAGCAAACGAGGGA
rnacentral:rRNA from 1 species